rnacentral:tRNA from 1 species
GGCGGAGUAGUGGCGCGAUGUCGUCCGCAGCUCUUUUGAUGCAUAGCGCAUUCUAAGUGGUUGAUCUGGAGCCGCAUUCGUAAUGCGUAGGUCGUAGGUUCGAUUCCUGUUUCCGGCACCA